CACAUGGCUCUUUUAAGAGCCCUGCUACCAAACAAUUAAAUGAUGU
rfam:Mesocricetus auratus contig108031, whole genome shotgun sequence.